ACCCUACGGGGGGCAGCAGUGGGGAAUCUUCCGCAAUGGGCGAAAGCCUGACGGAGCAAUGCCGCGUGAGUGAAGAAGGCCUUCGGGUUGUAAGACUCUGUCCUUAUCGAAGAGAGGUGGGUAUGUGAAUAAUGUGCUCAUAGGACGGUAGAUAAGGAGGAAGCCCCGGCUAACUACGUGCCAGCAACCGCGGUGAUACGUAGGGAGCAAGCGUUAUCCGGAUUUAUUGGGUGUAAAGGGUGCGUAGACGGAGAAGCAAGUUAGUUGUGAAAUCCCUCGGCUUAACUGAGGAACUGCAACUAAAA
rnacentral:rRNA from 1 species